rnacentral:rRNA from 1 species
AACGAACGCUGGCGGCAGGCUUAAUACAUGCAAGUCGAGGGGCAGCAUGAGUAGCAAUACUUGAUGGCGACCGGCAAACGGGUGCGGAACACGUACACAACCUUCCUUUCAGCGGGGAAUAGCCCAGAGAAAUUUGGAUUAAUACCCCAUAGAAUAUUGAAGAGGCAUCUCUUUAUUAUUAAAGAUUUAUCACUGAAAGAUGGGUGUGCGGCUGAUUAGAUAGUUGGCGGGGUAACGGCCCACCAAGUCUACGAUCAGUAGCUGAUGUGAGAGCAUGAUCAGCCACACGGGCACUGAGACACGGGCCCGACUCCUACGGGAGGCAGCAGUAAGGAAUAUUGGUCAAUGGACGAAAGUCUGAACCAGCCAUGCCGCGUGAAGGAUGAAGGUCCUCUGGAUUGUAAACUUCUUUUAUAUGGGACGAAAAAAGGUCAUUCUUGAUCACUUGACGGUACCAUUUGAAUAAGCACCGGCUAACUCCGUGCCAGCCGCCGCGGUAAAAC